rnacentral:rRNA from 1 species
AACGAACGCUGGCGGCAGGCCUAACACAUGCAAGUCGAGCGCGCAGCAAUGCGAGCGGCAGACGGGUGAGUAACGCGUGGGAAGCUUCCUAUUCGUGCGGAAUAGCCCCGGGAAACUUGGGGUAAUACCGCAUAAGCCCGACAGGGGAAAGAUGUAUCGCCGAUAGAUGGGCCCGCGUUGGAUUAGCUAGUUGGUGAGGUAACGGCUCACAAAGGCGACGAUCCAUAGCUGGUUUGAGAGAAUGACCAGCCACACUGGGACUGAGACACGGCCCAGACUCCUACGGGAGGCAGCAGUGGGGAAGCUUGGACAAUGGGCGCAAGCCUGAUCCAGCCAUGCCGCGUGAGUGAUGAAGGCCUUCGGGUUGUAAAGCUCUUUUGCCGGGGACGAUAAUGACGGUACCCGGAGAAUAAGUCCCGGCUAACUUCGUGCCAGCCGCCGCUGUAA